rnacentral:rRNA from 1 species
UACGGAGGGUGCAAGCGUUUAAAUCGGAAUUACUGGGGCGUAAAGCGUGCGUAGGCGGUUUCGUUAAGUCUGUUGUGAAAGCCCCGGGCUCAACCUGGAAUGGCAAUGGAUACUGGCGAGCUAGAGUGUGUCAGAGGAUGGUGGAAUUCCCGGUGUAGCGGUGAAAUGCGUAGAGAUCGGGAGGAACAUCAGUGCGAAGGCGGCCAUCUGGGACAACACUGACGCUGAGGCACGAAAGCGUGGGGAGCAAACAG